CUACGGGCGGCACCAGUGAGGAAUAUUGCACAAUGGGGGGAACCCUGAUGCAGCAACGCCGCGUGGAGGAUGACGCAUUUCGGUGUGUAAACUCCUUUUAUAUGUCAAGAAAAUGACGGUAGCAUAUGAAUAAGCACCGGCUAACUCCGUGCCAGCAGCCGCGGUAAUAAGGAGGGUGCAAGCGUUACUCGGAAUCACUGGGCGUAAAGGACGCGUAGGCGGGUUGGAAAGUCAGGUGUGAAAUCCUACAGCUUAACUGUAGAACUGCACUUGAAACUUCUAAUCUAGAGUAUGGGAGGGGGAGAUGGAAUUAGUGGUGUAGGGGUAAAAUCCGUAGAUAUCACUAGGAAUACCUAAAGCGAAGGCGAUCUCCUGGAACAUUACUGACGCUAAGGCGUGAAAGCGUGGGGAGCAAACAGGAUUAGAUACCCCGGUAGUC
rnacentral:rRNA from 1 species